ensembl:lncRNA
CAGUCCUACCCUCUUCUGGGUGCAGCAGAGAAGUAGUUCCCUCAUAGUUCCUGCCUUCCCACUGCCCUGCCUCGCUGAGAGCUCAUUUCUGGAGUUCUCAAAUCCAGACACACAUUUGGAAGCAGGCAAGAGAGCAGCCAUGAUGUAAUCAGUGCAGAAUGAGAAGUUAUCCCACCAGGAUGAGUGAAAGCUGUAAAGUUAAUUUGCCCAAGUGAGGAAGGGGACGAAGAAGAAGAAGAAGAACUGGAGCCUUGCAUUCAGCAUUACCAGGCAUUUCCCUGCCCAUCACAUCAGGCUCACUAACAGGAGUUUGUUUUUGCAAAGGAUGUCAAAGGGAAACACCUAAAUGCUAGUAAUAGUAGUGAUAGUGAUAGUGAUAGUGAUAGUAAACCACUGCACUGUCUACCCACACCUCCCAGGCUAGUGCACCAUUUAAUCACGCACUGAACAUUGAAAAGGAAAAUUUCCAAGCAAUUGCUCUACCCUAUCCUACAAAUCCCAAGAGAGUAACAGCCCCACUGACAGCUGUGCUCAGUCACCAGCUCUACCUGCUGCAUAAUUCCAAAAUGCAAAAUUUCCUAAAUUUACCUUAAGCUGAAAUUACUAACACUGAAUGCACAGUGAUACUCAACAAAAUAUAUAGCAUGUGGAAUGAAGGUAAUUUGGAACACCGUGAUCAGCUUUCAUAUUAGAGGAAGAAUAUAAUGCUGAAACCAUCUGGCCUGCGGCUAUGAAAACACCAAAGAGACAUAAAACCGAGUUAAUGGCAGCAUGCCAAGGUCUUGUUAAAAAACAGCACAUCACUAAAACAAAGCAAGUGCUGAUGUAGCACCAGCAAAGGCUCAUUAAUGAGCCUGGAGACAGAGUGCUCUUAUAUUUCAUUACGCGCUUAACAGCCAUACCUGCCUCUGCAGAAGAAAGGGGCCGUGGAGAAGAGUGAAGGGAUGAAAACGAAAAUAGUUAUUUCUGCCAAAAGGUCACUCAUUCUGCGCAGCGUAGCAGAACCAAUUACACAACGUGUGUUUCAAACCUCUAAUUACUGUGGCUGCUUCUGCCUUGAUAUUGCUGGAGGGAAACAUCCGUGCAACGAAGCUGUGGUGUCCGUGACAGCUACAUCAUGUGCCAUGAUGGUCAAAUACUGGUCUGUGACUAAAUUUCAGUGUCACCCUUCCUGGCAGUAAUUACACCUCACAAGUAAAAAGGAGUCAUCAUCAAGACUGCCUACAAGGAAACUGUUUUCAUGUGAAACAAGGGACACAAUAAGAAAAUAUUGUAACAUAAAAUAAUCAAUAUGGCAUAUAUUGUUUUUAAAUUCUCAAAGGAUGAAGCUCUUGUGAUAAUGAAUAGUCUAAUUUUUCGUAACUGGAACUAGGUCAACAACAAAUUAAAUUACCGAGCCAGCAUGAAAAAGAUGAAUUACUAGAAAAUAAAAACCUGCCAUUAAAACA